CAGGAAGGUCCGAGGCUUGGGGAGCAGCCGUUGGCUCUGGUGCCCCUGGGGGUGGGAGCACGAGUGGGCAAGGAUGAUGGUGAGGCAGAGGAGGCGGCCCCGACCCGGCGAGCUCGAGGGAGCGCCCGGCUGAGAGGCGGGGGGCCGAGGGGCCCGGGGAGCGGGCGCCACCGAGGGCCCUGGAAGCGGCAGGGCUUGGGGAGAGGAGACGCGUGUGUGGAGCGUGGGGACCCCAGCCCAGCUCCCACUUGCAGACCUGGGCCGCGGGCUGCCGGCCGAGUGGCCGGGGGGCCUGGCUGCCCAGGAGGCGGGCCGGGGCCGCGGCCGGGGGCGCGGAGCGGAGUUAGGGUCACCAGGCCGAGCAGAGGUGGGACGGACCGACGCAGAGAGGAAGGGAAGCCACCUGGCCUGAAGAUCCUGUCUCUAAGAUCCCAUUCUGAGGUCCACGCUGCUUUUAUGAGCUGUAACACUCACCACGAAGAUCUGCAACUUCACUCCUGAGCCCAGCGAGACCACGAGCCCACCGGGAGGAACAAACAACUCCAGACGCGCUGCCUUAAGAGCUGUAACACUCACCGUGAAGGUCUGCAGCUUCACUCCUGAGCCAGCGAGACCACGAACCCACCAGAAGGAAGAAACUCCGAACACAUCUGAACAUCAGAACGAACAGACUCCAGACGCACCACCUUAAGAGCUGUAACACUCACCGCGAGGUUCCGCGGCUUCAUUCUUGAAGUCAGUAAGACCAAGAACCCACCAAUUCUGGACACAGUAGCAUUUGGGAAUAAUAAGAAUUGUAGCUGGGCAUG
rnacentral:lncRNA from 1 species